ACACCCAAAACUCCAUAAAGGUCAGGAUGACUGGCACUUAUGAAGAGAGCUCAAGUUGGAUACUGAAAGGUCUCCAAAAUUCCACCACAGAGCCUCCUGAUUGGAAUCACAAUUUAGCCUCUGGAAAGGACGCCAGCAAAACAAGGCAACAGUAGACACUAAUUGGAGCCGUCAGUGCUAAUUUUGAUGGACCAAGAAACCCUCCAAUUGAGAACCAUUCAAUGGAGAGGACUUCAAAGAACCGUCUGUGUGUGCAUAUAUAAUUGCCAGAUAUAUGCUCUUUGAACAAGAUGUGUGAUCUAGAGAGCCUCUUGGAUGAAUGUAAAGGCUCUUUUAUAGUACUUAGCAUUCCUCUGGUGUGGACUGGCCCUUCUUCAGUUUGCUGCCAGAUCUAAUGGACGUAUUCAGCACGAAGCAGCUGUUCUUCCAUGCUCCUUUUAAUUUAUUUAUUUAUUAAAUGAUGUGUUGUCCUUUCAUCUUUCCCUUAUCCAAUUUAUAAAGCAGCCC